GCUGUGGCUCAGUGGAAGAGCUUCUGUUUUGUAUGUAGAAAGGUCCCAAGUUUGAUCCCUGGCAUCUCCA
rnacentral:tRNA from 1 species